AUAUUUUGAAAAAUCUGAAAAUAGAAAAGUAAAUGCGUUACAGCAAGCAAGACGUGAGCUCGGGAAGCGCUGUUAGCUGACCCAAGAAGUUUAGGAAUGGACUGCUUCAUAUUCCUCACUGGCUGUGAUCUGACGCUCGUUGAGGUGUCCAACGUGGGAGGAGGCGUGGAGGCCCGGCACACCUGUGGGCAGAGAAGGUGAAGAGGGCUGGUGAGUACCCCACUCCCAGGCAGCAAUCCUGGCCCAAGCCCUGAGGUUGCGGGGUUGGCCUUUGAGGCCCCAUUACUACCUCCCCCAUUUAUUUAUUUAUCAUUUUAUUUAUCCGUCCAUUUGUGGGACAGCCCAGAGUAAUGGGUAA